rnacentral:rRNA from 1 species
UUUUAAAUUUUUAAUAGAAUUUGCCCAGUGUAAAUAUUAAUAAACGGCUUCUUAAGAAAUGUAGCGAAAUCAUUAGCCUUUUAAUUGAGGGCCAGUAUGAAAAAUUUAACUUUUUUUCUUUGCUUAAAAAAAAUUAAUUAAAAUUAAAAGUUUAAUGAAAAUUUUAAAAUAAUUUAAAAGACGAGAAGACCCUAAAAUCUUAAAAUUUUUAUUGGGACAAUAUAAAAAAGUUAAAUUCCAGAUUAAUAAAUACCCAUUUUGUUUAUUAAAGAUCCUUUAGGGAUAACAGCAUUAUUAAUAAUAAAGACCAUAUUAAUAUAUUAGAUUUUGACCUCGAUGUUGAAUUAGAAUAUUUUAGAAGCAGAAAGUUAAAAAUUUUUAGUCUGUUCGACUAGUUAUUU